rnacentral:rRNA from 1 species
UGGGGAAUAUUGCACAAUGGGCGCAAGCCUGAUGCAGCCAUGCCGCGUGUGUGAAGAAGGCCUUCGGGUUGUAAAGCACUUUCAGCGGGGAGGAAGGCGUUAAGGUUAAUAACCUUGGCGAUUGACGUUACCCGCAGAAGAAGCACCGGCUAACUCCGUGCCAGCAGCCGCGGUAAUACGGAGGGUGCAAGCGUUAAUCGGAAUUACUGGGCGUAAAGCGCACGCAGGCGGUUUGUUAAGUCAGAUGUGAAAUCCCCGGGCUCAACCUGGGAACUGCAUCUGAUACUGGCAAGCUUGAGGCUCGUAGAGGGGGGUAGGAUUCCAGGUGUAGCGGUGAAAUGCGUAGAGAUCUGGAGGGAUACCGGUGGCGAAGGCGGCCCCCUGGACGAAGACUGACGCUCAGGUGCGAAAGCGUGGGGAGCAAACAGG